UAAUGACAGCCAGGUUUCUCACCAUUGGGGAAGGUAGUUACAAAUAUAGGAAGGGGAAAAUUAGCAUCACCAAAGGAGAUAAAAUACAUUAUGUGCCUCCUGACACAAAGAUAUAUCAUCACAUCUUUGGUACCUCUACCAAAAAUUCAUAACCUGACUCUAAUCAUAGGGAAACAUUAGACAAACCCAAAAUGAGAGAAAUGCUACAAAAUAACUGGCAAAAAUAUCAAAAUAUUGAGGUUGAGAAAAACAAAGAAAGGCUAAGGAACUUUUCCAGAUUGAUAUGAUAACUAAAUUCAUGCUCGAUCCUGAAUUAGAUCCUGAAUUGGACUGGGAGAAAAAAACAAUAAAGAACAUUUCUGGUACAAAUAACAACAUUUGAAAUACAGACUGGAUUAGAUUAGUAUUGUGGAAACAUUAAACUGCCUGAAACUCCUUUUUCCUAGGAAAAUUCACACUGAAGUACAGUGUUUAGUUGGAAAGAACCACAAGGUCUCCAACUUACUCUCAAAUUUUCAAGAAAAAGAGAAAGGUGGGGAGGAAGAAGAGAGGAGGGAGGGAGGGUAGUGGGCACAUACACGAAUGGGGCAAAAUAGAAACAAUUGGUCAAUCUGGGUAUAAUAUAAGGAGGUUCCCUGCACUAUUCUUCCACCUUUUCUGUAAGUGUAAAAUUAUAUCAAAAUAGAAAGUUACCCCCCCACAAAGACCCUAAGCUUCCCCCCAAAAUAUUUAGGUGAAAGUUCAUAAUAACUAAUUCAAUGUAUUAUGAGAAAUUCUUUUAAGAACAUUGGUUUUAAAAUUCUAUUUUUCCCUCUGGUAGCAAUCUACAAAACUUGACUCGGUUCUAAAUUCCUUUUUAGAACUAAAAACAACUUGUAUAGCUUCAAAUACGAUUUUUUGAAAUUCCAGUGGCAGACAUCGUCCUUUUAGAAAGUCUUAUGAUAUAAGGAAAUUGGAACGAAAGCGCCUUUUCACUACCCUCUCCCUCCAGAUUCUUCAGUAAUUUUUCUAUCUCCAAAAGACACACCACCAGGACUGCCUAGUAUCCCCCCCUCAUCUGAGUAACACUUAAAAAUUGCUCUAUGAUGGUCCAUGCAAAGGAGGAACCUCAGGGGAAGAACAAAACCUACUGAAGUUCAUAUUCAAGCCGAAAAUUAACAUGAUGCAAGUAUCGAUACAGAACUGUAUUAUCUAAUUCAGUCUCUCUUUGUACACUAUAAAUCAAACUCUCAGGCUGGUUUCUCUGUGAGAAUGAAUACAGAUAAGCAACA